GCCCCAGCACUGUUGCCGUGGUACAGCUGCCGCUGACUGCAGUGGUGUUGAGGAACCUCCAUCGCUGCUUGGUGGCCUCUCCGUACCUUGCAGCGAGUGGCAGCACUGACGGAGGCACACCAGUCCCGCAAUAGCUUUCUAGCUUGCAUACCAGGUUCGAUGUGUAUUUGCUACCUGGUGAGUUGUUCGCAUGAGGAUUAAAGUGAGCACACAAAAACUGAAUGGAGGUGAGGUCAAUUCCAUUACUCACACAAUUGUCCAGGUACCUGCAGCUGGACAAGAAAAGUUCGCAACGUACAGGAAGAUGGAGACAUGCUGCAAGGUGCUUCCUAAAACAUGCAGUGGGACACACAUUGUAAUUCCUGCUGUGCUUCUGAGCAGGCUCCUUUGGAUUGCUUGUCCUCAUCAUUAUGUAGAUUAGUAGAACCUGAAAAUUACUUGUGUAUCUUAAUGGUGUUUGUGUGUGAAAAUCAUGGAAUGGUUUGGGUUGGAAAGGACCUUAAGAUCAUCUAGUUCCAGCCCCCUGCCAUGGGCAUGGAUGCCUCACAGUAGACCGUGUUGCCCAAGGCUCUGUCCAGCCUGAUCUUGAACACUGCCAGAGAUGGAGCAUUCACAGCUUCUUUGGGCGAUCCAUUCCAGUGCCUCACCACCCUCACAGUAAAGAACUUCUUCCUUAUACCUAACCUGAACUUCCCCUGUUUUAAUUUGAACUUCUUGGGUAUACAAAGACUACUUCCACCUGUAAACAUUUGCCCUACUGUGAUUGUCCACCCCUGUCCUCCUGUUUGCACCCUUAAGCCAUAGAACAUGCAGCUGAUCCAAAGGAAGAAUUAAAUAUCCGUGCAGGUGUAAGAUAACUAUCUGAAGUGCAGUUCACAGACCAAAAGCCUGCCAGGAAACCCUCAUGACUAGUGUGAACUUAGUGAGCUAAAUCCUUUGCUUACUUCUGCAGGUAAUGUUUUACAUUACAUUUACAAACAAGGAACAUUUUAUUAGCUACUAGAAAGAACAAAAAGACUAUCUGCUGUAUUUUGGAAAAGUCAAACACAAGAGCAAUUACAAGAUCAUCCCAUUAUAUAGAUGCCUUAGAAAUACUAUUAGUAUGUCAUUUGUUCAUUGUAAUUACAGUGUAAAAUGUCAUUUGUCAUUACUGCUCCUCAAUUAAGAAAGCAGCAGUACUUCCUUCAACUUAUGUAUUACCUGACCUAUGCUGAGGAAUACUUUUCUUAACAAUACUGAAUGCACAGCAUUUAUGUAUCAUUGAUAGUAGGGGUACCCUUCUCUACCCAAGGGAACUAUAUAGCAGUGUUUGCCAUAUCUUUAUUGCCACUAAAUAACUUAAAUUCCUAAAUAAGGAGGGCCUACAAGAAUUCUGGAGAGGCACUUUUUAGAAGAGCAUGUGGUGCCAAGACAAGGGGAAGUGGCUUUAAACUGACAGAAGGGAGAUUCAGAUUAGACAUUAGGAAGAAAUUCUUAACCAUGAGGGUGGUGAGACACUGGCACAGGUUGCCCAGAGAAACUGUGGCUGCCCCAUCCCUGGCAGUGUUCAAAGCCAGGCUGGACAGGGCUUGGAGCAGCCUGGUCUAGUGGAAGGUGUCCCUGCCCAUGGUGGGGGUUGGAGCUGAAUGGUCUUUAAGAUCCCUUUCAACCCAAACCAUUCUAUGAAAUUAUUUACAAGGAAAAUAUUAAAGCAGCUAAUACUAUUAAAGAAAA